GGCACAGUGGUGCAGUGGGUAGCACUGUUGCCUCUCACCAAGAAGGUUAUGGGUUUGAAUCUCGCCUUGGGCCU
rnacentral:tRNA from 1 species